AAAAAAGAAAGUGUCAUUUCUACAAGUUGAGGUCGAAUAUAUGAAAAGCAUUUUUGAGAUGAUUCGUGCUAGCCAGCGACCUUUGUCUGAAAAAGAGAAAGAAAUUGAAGAUGCUACUUGCUUAUCUUGGGAACAAUUACUUU